rnacentral:rRNA from 1 species
CUACCGUGCCCUGCGGAAUAGCUCCGGGAAACUGGAAUUAAUACCGCAUACGCCCUACGGGGGAAAGAUUUAUCGGGGUAUGAUGAGCCCGCGUUGGAUUAGCUAGUUGGUGGGGUAAAGGCCUACCAAGGCGACGAUCCAUAGCUGGUCUGAGAGGAUGAUCAGCCACAUUGGGACUGAGACACGGCCCAAACUCAUACGGGAGGCAGCAGUGGGGAAUAUUGGACAAUGGGCGCAAGCCUGAUCCAGCCAUGCCGCGUGAGUGAUGAAGGCCUUAGGGUUGUAAAGCUCUUUCACCGGAGAAGAUAAUGACGGUAUCCGGAGAAGAAGCCCCGGCUAACUUCGUGCCAGCAGCCGCGGUAAUACGAAGGGGGCUAGCGUUGUUCGGAAUUACUGGGCGUAAAGCGCACGUAGGCGGAUAUUUAAGUCAGGGGUGAAAUCCCAGAGCUCAACUCUGGAACUGCCUUUGAUACUGGGUAUCUUGAGUAUGGAAGAGGUAAGUGGAAUUCCGAGU